GCCGGAGUGGUGAAACUGGCAGACACCGGAAGUGCGGCCCUGGUCGUUCUUCCGCCGGGGCCUUCGUGUCCUUGCAGGUUCAAGUCCUGCCUCCGGCACCA
rnacentral:tRNA from 1 species